CCUCAUCGAGCUCCUUGUUACUUUGCUUAACAACAAAUAAGUAAUCCGGGCUAAGACUUGAUAUCAGGGAUUGAUCCCGCCGCACUAGCCUUGGACACCCAAGAUCCCUUCGAUCUUGGAUCUGAGGCACAUCCGAUCAUCAGGUCGUGUGUGUUUAUCUUGUAAUCAAUCUUGAAUCAUAUCAUUGGUGCUUUCAAAAAAAAAGUUUUGAACUCUUAAUUUCAGAUCUCUGCAAAUGCCGCCUACUACAAUGGAUUUAGCAAACAAUCCUGAUUUUUUACGCUUACAAUCUCUGCAAAUGUCACAAAUAAAAGAGAUGAGUGAGUUCCGUAUAGUCAUGAACAAAAAUAUUAUGGAACUGGGAAAACAGCUAGCAGAAAUGUGUGAUACGAUUGCGAAAACAGGACCAGACCAACCUGAUCCGAACAAAAAUCUGUCUGAAAACAGAUUAGGCCCUUUCCACCAAUCUCUGGUGGACUUAGACAAUCCAGCUUAUGCAAAUUGUAUUCUCAAAGAUGACUCGUAUACACCUGCAAAACACAUCAAGGUUAAUAUGCCGAGGUUCGAUGGCUCUGAUGCAGAAGGAUGGCUUUUCUCUGUUAGAAGAUAUUUUAUAUUCAAUAAAAUACCAGAAGAUCAGAAAUUACUGAUAGUUUCAUUUCAUCUGGAUGGUAUUGUAAAGAAAUGGUUUGCUUGGUUAGAAGCAAGCAACAUGUUAUCUAAUUGGAAGAAUUUCGUGGAUGCAGUGAUAAGAAAGUUUACUUCAUGGCAUUACUCACUUCCGGGAGGAAAGCUUAGCAAGCUAUGCCAAGAAGGGUCUGUGGCUGACUAUCAACAAUUAUUUGAAGAAUUAUGUACAAGGGUGUUGGGCCUACCCGACUAUUUUAUAUUAGAAAUGUACAUAUCAGGCUUAAAGGAGGAAUUGCAAACUGAGGUAAUGAGAGAUAAACCAAGGGAUAUUCAUGAAGCAUUUGAUUUAUCCCUAAUGCUAGAGGCAAGAAAAGGAGGUUCUAAGGGCAAUUCAUACAAGCCAUAUUCACCAAAGACUACUAAAUUCGUGCCUUUCAAUACCUAUUCAGCAAAAUCAGAUAUUGAGGUAAAAAAUCCAGCAACUAGCACUACCAACACUUCUACACCUGUUUUUAAAAGAUUAACACCUGCUGAAAGAAAGGAAAAAACUGCUAAAGGGCUCUGUUUUAACUGUGAUGAUAAAUUUAUACCGGGUCAUAAGUGUAAAGGAAAAAUGUUUAGACUUGCUGCUGAUGGUCCUGUUUUUGGGAGGUUGAAGAAAUAGAAGAAAAAGAAGAACAUAAUCAAGAGAUAAGUAUAAUAGAGCCUGAAAAUAAAGAAAUAAGCUUCAAUGCCUUUGAGGGCCACAUAAACCCUAAUACCAUAAGGCUGGAAGGUUAUAUAAAGGGACAAUGCAUAAGUGUUUUGGUAGAUAUAGGAUCUACCCAUAAUUUUAUGCAAACUGAUGUUGCUGAAAAUCUGAAAUUGAUCAUUCAAGUCAUCAUUCCAUUUAAAGUUUCCACGGGCAGUGGGGAAAAACUUAUCUGUGACAAAGUAUGCAAAAAUGUAGAAAUAAAAAUCCAGGGCACCAUCAUAAAGAUGGAUAUAUUUCUAUUACCUAUGGCUGGCUCGAACAUGGUCGUUGGGAUUCAAGGCUUAAAAACUCUAGGCCCGGUAACAUUUGAUUUUGUGAGAAUGCAAAUGAAAUUUAAAGCUAAUGGAUCUGAAAUUGUAUGGCUGGGUUGUCCAUGGAUCACGGAGGAUCCUUUAACCAAGGGUCAAUUAAGGUGUCUAGUAGCUUCUACUCAAGAAGCAUACUUAUGCUAUAUUGAUAAAAUAGAAGAAAAUCAGGAGUUACCCUUUCUAAAUUCUGGAAAUGCUGAAAUAACAGAAAUAAUUCAGGAAUACACAGACAUAUUUGAAUCACCUGUGGAGUUGCCACCACAAAGAGAGAGGGACCAUUAUAUUCACUUGGAACUAAACAGCAAGCCUGUGAAUGUAAGACCUUACCGAUACCCUCAAUUUCAAAAAUCAGAAAUUGAGAAACUCGUAUCUGAAAUGUUGAAACAGCAAAUAAUUAAGCCAAGCACAAGCCCAUAUUCCUCUCCAGUGUUAUUAGUUAAGAAGAAAGAUGGGGGCUACAGGCUUUGUGUGGAUUAUAGGGCUCUGAAUGCAUUAACAAUUAAAGAUAAAUUCUCAAUUCCUACUAUUGACGAGCUACUUGGGGAAUUAAAAGGUUCAGUUAUUUUUUCUAAACUUGAUCUGACGUCCGGGUUCCAUCAAAUCAGAGUUCAUCCACCUCAUACAGAAAAAACAGCAUUCAGAACACAUCAGGGUCAUUUUGAGUUUAUGGUGAUGCCUUUUGGGCUCACAAAUGCGCCUGCCACUUUUCAAUCUGUCAUGAACUCGGUAUUUAGCAAGUUUUUGAGAAAGUUUGUGAUUAUAUUCUUUGAUGAUAUCCUUGUGUACAGUGUAUCCCUAGAAGACCAUCAGUCACAUUUGAGGCUAGUAUUUGAUACACUGAGAGACAACAAGUUACUAGCAAAGCUCUCUAAGUGCUCGUUUGGCCAGACUUCAAUGAGUUUCUUGGGUCACAUAAUCAAGGCAGACGGUGUCCAUCCGGAUCCUGAAAAAAUUAGAGCAAUGGUAGAUUGGGUGGUACCUAAGACAAUAAAGAUGUUGAGAGGUUUCUUAGGCUUAACAGGGUAUUAUAGAAGAUUUAUGAGGCUAUGCACAGAUAGCAUCUCCUAUGACUGACUUAUUAAGAAAGGAUGCUUUUAAAUGGAAUUAUUUAGCUACUUCCAAUUUCGAAAAAUUAAAAGCAGCCAUGGUUUCAGCUCCAGUUCUAGUCUUUCCAGACUUUAAGAAGCAAUUUGUAGUAGAGACUGACGCAUGCAACACUGGGGUAGGGGCUGUCCUAGCUCAAGAAUCUCACUCUAUUUCAUUUUUUAGUUGUAAAAUUUCUGGAAGAAUGGCAGCGGCAUCCAUUUAUGUAAAAGAGAUGUAUGCCAUUACCCAAGCCGUGGGAAAAUGGAGACACUACUUGCUAGGUUCUCACUUCAUCAUUAAGACUGAUCAUAAGAGUCUUAAGAAUCUCCUAACUCAAACUAUACAAACACCGGAGCAACAGAUUUUUUUAUGUAAGUUACUUGGGUUUGAUUUUUCUAUUAUAUACAAGCCGGGCAAGGAUAAUGUGGUGGCUUAUGCUUUAUCUAGAUCGUUUGAAGAAAAUGAAAAACAGGUCAUAUAUUCCAGCAAUUCAACAGGUGAUCCAGGAUCAUUAUUAUCUUUAUCUGCGCAGGUAAAUUCAUUAUUGGAUGAACUAAGAAGAGAAUCAUCAAACUGCCCAAAAAUUCAGGAAUUAGUAAAAAAAUGCUAUGAAGAGGGUCAGGACCAUAGAAGCUUCCAUAUCAGAGAAGGGAUAUUGUUCUAUAAAGGGAGAUAUUAUGUGCAUGAGGAGUCUACCUUAAUUCCCAAAAUUCUAUGGGAGUAUCACAAUUCUCCAAUUGGGGGUCAUGCUGGAAUAUUGAAAACAAAAGUAAGAAUUUCUCAACUCUUCUUUUGGCCAAAAAUGAAUAAAAGCAUUAUCGAUUAUAUUAAAGAAUGCUUAAUAUGUCAACAAAUGAAGCCUUCUAACAAGAAACCAGCAUGGUUACUUAUGCCUCUUCCCGUUCCUUCUGAAACCUGGAAAGACAUUACAAUGGACUUUAUAACAGAGCUGCCCAAAGUAGAAGGUAAAACAGUCAUCAUGGUGGUCGUUGAUAGACUGUCAAAAUAUGCCCAUUUCAGCCCACUUUCACCAAAUUUUAAUGCUGUCAUGGUAGCUGAGGAUUUUGCGAAGGAUAUCAUAAAAUUACAUGGGAUUCCAUCAUCUAUCGUAUCUGACAGAGAUAAGGUAUUUACUUCUAGAUUUUGGAAGGAAUUACAUAAAUUAAGUGGAACUAAAUUACUCCACUCAUCUAUUCCUACCAUCCGGAAACAGAUGGUCAUGCUGAGGUAGUCAAUAGAACCUUAGAAAUGUAUCUAAGGUCAUUUUGUCAUGAAGAUCCAAAGAAGUGGCUUAAAGUAUUACCUUGGGCAGAAUUGUGGUAUAACUCUAGUUACCACUCUUCAUUGUGUAUGACUCCAUUUAAAGCUUUGUAUGGGAAGGAAGCAAGUGAGAUACCUCCUUACAGUUCAGGGCAAUCAACUAUCGAGGCAGUAGAUCUAUCACUUCAACUUAGAGAGGAUACUCUUAAAAUCAUAAAACAGAAUUUACUAAAAGCUCAGGGGAGGAUGAAAAUCCAAGCCGAUAAGAAAAGGUCGGAGAUUUCAUUUGAAGAAGGAGCUUGGGUGUUAGUCAAAUUACAACCCUAUCGACAAAAAUCUGUUACAACAAGGCUACACAAUAAAUUAAGCCAAAAAUAUUUCGGUCCAUACCAAAUCGAAAGAAAAAUCAGCGAAGUAGCUUACAGAUUGAAAUUUCCAGAAGGCAGCAAAAUCCACAGUACAUUCCAUGUGUCCAGAUUGAAGCAAUUUCAAGGACCAAUUCCUGAAAAUACAGAAAAGGGAGAGCCACUGUUAACAAGAGAAAAUCAGCCAAUUAUAUACCCUAUGGCUAUAAUUGAUGAGCGUGAGGUCUGGCAAGGAAAGAAAAUAGUAAAACAGUUAUUGAUACAAUGGAAUGGAGCUUUACCAGAGGACUCAUCUGGGAAGACCGGGCAGCGCUACAAGCGGCUUUUUCUGCUCUAAACCUUGAGGACAAGGUCAGCAUUGAAGGAGGGGGUGAUGAUACAGUAGCUAUCGACUACGACCAGAUUGCAGAUGACGUCGCCGGGAUUCAGGAAUCCGUCGCCGAGGAGAGGGCCACCCUAAUUUCUGAGAAGGGGAAGAAUUCGAUCGAAGUUCGUUGAAGGCUAAUGAACCGGGUGAGGACCGGGCUAAAUCCAAGCGGUUUAGGCGCAAACCGGCUUGGUGUGAUGAUUAUGAAAUGGGCUCGACCAUGGAGGGCUAAACCAAGUUGGAGGGAACCUGUUUUAUUUUAAAUAAUUGCAUAACAGACCCUAAGUAGUUAAAUAUUGCAAGUAUCAAAGUAGUAUAAAUUGUAAUAGUUUCAUUGAGGAUAUUUUUAUGAAAUUAAUAUUACAAGUUUACAACAAAUCACCAAUCACAUCUACCCUAGUCACAGCCGCCUCCAACAUUCUGUUGAGUAUCUCGCCGAAAUCGCAAUACCUCCAAAUACGUCGCGCUCUUCGUCAUCGAGCCGCAUCGAGCUCCUUGUUACUUUGCUUAACAUCAAAUAAGUAAUCCAUCAGGAAUUGAUCCCGCCGCACUAGCCUUGGACACCUAAGAUCCCUUCGAUCUUGGAUCUGAGGCACUUCCGAUCAUCAGGUCGUGUGUGUUUAUCUUGUAAUCGAUCUUGAAUCAUAUCAGUACCUCAACGAAGACGAGGAAGUACCAGAAUGUAGACGAAAUCGAACGAAGACGAAUGAAGACGAAGAAGAAUAUAACUAAGACGAAGACAAACGAAGACGGAGAACGAAGAACACGAAAGAAGAUGAACGAAGACGGAGAACGUAGACGAUCGAAGAUUAUCGAAGCGAAGUCGGACUAGAACGAAGUGGAUUACGAGGACGAACCAGAACGAAGACGAAAUUGAACGAAGACGAGGACGAACCAGGACGAAGACGAAAUCGAACGAAGACGAGGACGAACCAGGACGAAGACGUACGAAGCUGGAUUACCCUUUUCAGAACAAAAUCCAGAACGAAAGACGAAAUCCAGAACGAAGACGAAGCAGAAGAAUAUAACCAACCGCGGAAUGCAGAAAGAAAAAUAAAUCCAAGAUCGGAAUAAGAUAAAUACUGACACUAACACUAUAUCUACUACUGACAAUACACCUGAU
rnacentral:lncRNA from 1 species